rnacentral:rRNA from 1 species
GUGGAACUCUCGGAGUGAGUAGAGCGGCGGACGGGUGAGUAACGCGUAGGAAUCUACCCAGUAGUGGGGGACAACAUGGGGAAACUCAUGCUAAUACCGCAUACGCCCUACGGGGGAAAGCGGGGGAUCUUCGGACCUCGCGCUAUUGGAUGAGCCUGCGUUGGAUUAGCUAGUUGGUGGGGUAAAGGCCCACCAAGGCGACGAUCCAUAGCUGGUCUGAGAGGAUGAUCAGCCACACCGGGACUGAGACACGGCCCGGACUCCUACGGGAGGCAGCAGUGGGGAAUAUUGCGCAAUGGGGGCAACCCUGACGCAGCCAUGCCGCGUGUGUGAAGAAGGCCUUCGGGUUGUAAAGCACUUUCACUUGGGAGGAAAAGUUUACGGUUAAUACCCGUGAGCCUUGACGUUACCUUGAGAAGAAGCACCGGCUAACUCCGUGCCAGCAGCCGCGGUAAUACGGAGGGUGCAAGCGUUAAUCGGAAUUACUGGGCGUAAAGCGCGCGUAGGCGGUUUGUUAAGUCGGAUGUGAAAGCCCCGGGCUCAACCUGGGAACUGCACCCGAUACUGGCCGACUGGAGUGCGAGAGAGGGAGGUAGAAUUCCACGUGUAGCGGUGAAAUGCGUAGAUAUGUGGAGGAAUACCGGUGGCGA